rnacentral:rRNA from 1 species
UCCAGACUCCUACGGGAGGCAGCAGUGGGGAAUAUUGCACAAUGGGGGAAACCCUGAUGCAGCGACGCCGCGUGAGUGAAGAAGUAUUUCGGUAUGUAAAGCUCUAUCAGCAGGGAAGAUAAUGACGGUACCUGACUAAGAAGCCCCGGCUAACUACGUGCCAGCAGCCGCGGUAAUACGUAGGGGGCAAGCGUUAUCCGGAUUUACUGGGUGUAAAGGGUGCGCAGGUGGCAGGGCAAGUCAGAUGUGAAAGCCCGGGGCUCAACCCCGGUAUUGCAUUUGAAACUGUCCGGCUAGAGUGCAGGAGAGGUAAGCGGAAUUCCUAGUGUAGCGGUGAAAUGCGUAGAUAUUAGGAGGAACACCAGUGGCGAAGGCGGCUUACUGGACUGUAACUGACACUGAGGCACGAAAGCGUGGGGAGCAAACAGGAUUAGAUACCCUGGUA